UGGGGAAUAUUGCACAAUGGAGGGAACUCUGAUGCAGCGACGCCGCGUGAACGAAGAAGGCUUUCGAGUCGUAAAGUUCUUUUAUAUGGGAAGAUAAUGACGGUACCAUAAGAAGAAGCCCCGGCUAACUACGUGCCAGCAGCCGCGGUAAUACGUAGGGGGCUAGCGUUGUCCGGAAUCACUGGGCGUAAAGGGUUCGCAGGCGGAAAUGCAAGUCAGGUGUAAAAGGCAGUAGCUUAACUACUGUAAGCAUUUGAAACUGCAUAUCUUGAGAAGAGUAGAGGUAAGUGGAAUUUUUAGUGUAGCGGUGAAAUGCGUAGAUAUUAAAAAGAAUACCGGUGGCGAAUGCGACUUACUGGGCUCAUUCUGACGCUGAGGAACGAAAGCGUGGGUAGCAAACAGG
rnacentral:rRNA from 1 species